GUGCUCACUUUGGUAGCACAUAUACUAAAACUGGAAUGAUACAGAGAGGAUGAGCACGGCCCCUGCCCAAGGAUGACAUGCAAAUUCAUGAAGCGUUCCAUAUUAAA
ensembl:snRNA U6 U6 spliceosomal RNA